GCCCUGAGUGGAGCCCAGGGGCAGAUCUGCGAUUCAGAAGAGGCCAGUGUUAAAAAGUCACAUUUUGGAGCCGACCUGCUCUUUGAGAAGAGAGAGGCAGAUUGUCGGCUCUUCGAGGCAGAGACUGUCUUUUUGUUCAGGGUCUAUACAGCACCUAGCGCGGUGGGGGUCAUGGUUCAUGACUGACAUGAAGCUCCUGGUCACAGUUUACCUCUCUCCAGACACGCAGCAGCGGUGAAUCAUGUAACAUACAGAGGGGCACGUUGCCCUGAGCCUGACACAUUCACUGUUCAUUGCAUACAGCACAGAAGAGCACAGAUCCUACAAAACAAUAAACAGUCUAAACUGCAA